rnacentral:lncRNA from 1 species
CCCUCCACUGUCACCCCCGACUGCUGAAAUCCUCUUCUAGGAAGCCUUCCUCCCCUCCCCCCUUCUCUGCAGCCAACGUGUCGGGACUUGAGUUGUCAGGAGACCUAGAAUCUCAGAGUGAAAAACAGUAAUUCAAGGCUAGUCCCAUUAAGCAGAAGUUAAAACUUAGGUCGAGAGGGCGAAUGACUUGCCCAGGGCCACACAGCUUGGAAGUGAAAAAGCAGAAAUAAACGUAAACCGUAUCUUGGCUUACUUUUCAAUAUAUGUUGCCUUUUUUUUUUUGUCCAACCGCAGUGUCUCUCGGGCAGCCUCCAUUGUAGCAGAUAUCAAACCAAAAUUGAUUGUCUCCUCCAGACUGGGAACUCCUUCUGGGCAAGAAUGGGACCUGGCCUUGAACAGUUUCAACAACAUUUGUUAAAAGAAGAAAUAGGUGAAUCUGCUUUGGCCCAGCCCCAGCCUCCAUCCCCAACCCCCAGCUCCCCAGAGACUCUUUGGUAAACUGGCUUUGGGGAAGGCAAAACGGCCAGAACUCCCAACGCCCCAGGAGAUUGAGAAAUUUGGGACAAAGGGAACUGGAAGAGUCCAUUUCUGUCAC